GAUGAAGAACGUAGCGAAAUGCGAUAAGUAAUGUGAAUUGCAGAAUUCAGUGAAUCAUCGAAUCUUUGAACGCACCUUGCACCCUUUGGCAUUCUGAAUGGUAUGCUCGUUUGAGUGUCAUUGUACUCUCACACUCCCGAUCUUUGCAUUGGGAGCAGUGGACUUGGGUUUGCUGCUUCACCGUCGCUUACCUCAAAUAGGUUAGUGCAACUCUUGGUUGGACAUAGUACGGCGUGAUAAGUGUUCUUCGCCGGUGCCUCGCAAAGAGGGUGGCCGAUCGGGAUGUUGUGCUCCAAACCGUCUUCGGACAAUCUCUGACGACUUGACCUCAAAUCGAGUAAGACUACCCGCUGAACUUAAGCAUAUCAAUAAGCGGAGGA
rnacentral:misc_RNA from 1 species